AACGGCGAGUGAAGCGGCAACAGCUCAUAUUUGAAAUCUGGCCCUUGGGUCCGAGUUGUAAUUUGUAGAGGAUGCUUUUGGCGAGGUGCCUUCCGAGUUCCCUGGAACGGGACGCCAUAGAGGGUGAGAGCCCCGUCUGGUCGGACACCGAGCCUCUGUAAAGCUCCUUCGACGAGUCGAGUAGUUUGGGAAUGCUGCUCAAAAUGGGAGGUAUAUGUCUUCUAAAGCUAAAUAUUGGCCAGAGACCGAUAGCGCACAAGUAGAGUGAUCGAAAGAUGAAAAGCACUUUGAAAAGAGGGUUAAAAAGUACGUGAAAUUGUUGAAAGGGAAGCGCCUAUGACCAGACUUGGGCCCGGUGAAUCAUCCAGCGUUCUCGCUGGUGCACUUUGCCGGGCACAGGCCAGCAUCAGUUUGGCGCGGGGGAAAAAGGCUUUGGGAAUGUGGCUCCCUCGGGAGUGUUAUAGCCCAUUGUGUAAUACCCUGCGCCGGACUGAGGUACGCGCAUUGCAAGGAUGCUGGCGUAAUGGUCAUCAGCGACCCGUCUUGAAACACGGACCAAGGAGUCGUCUUCGUAUGCGAGUGUUCGGGUGUCAAACCCCUACGCGUAAUGAAAGUGAACGCAGGUGAGAGCUUCGGCGCAUCAUCGACCGAUCCUGAUGUUCUCGGAUGGAUUUGAGUAAGAGCAUACGGGGCCGGACCCGAAAGAAGGUGAACUAUGCCUGUAUAGGGUGAAGCCAGAGGAAACUCUGGUGGAGGCUCGCAGCGGUUCUGACGUGCGAAUCGAUCGUC
rnacentral:rRNA from 1 species